rnacentral:lncRNA from 1 species
UCCCUUUUACCUCAGCUACAUUACUACUCGCAUAAGGUUUAGUAGGCACACCUGCAGAUCCCAAAUUUUUCUUUCUUUGGAAGUCAGGUGGAUACCCAACUAAUCUGUAACAGUUUGUCUUUAGAUGUCCUUUGUAACCACAAUGAUCACAAACUGAUCCAGGUGGUGCUAAUGGGCUUCUAGAUUUGUAAUUUUGAUUCUGAUUGUAGUUCGGAUACUGAUUCAUCUGGUAUUGAUGUGAAGUGGGAGGUGUAGU